UUCUGGCUCAGGAUGAACGCUGGCGGCGUGCCUAACACAUGCAAGUCGAACGGGGUUACACGCUGAUGAAGCUUCGGCAGAAUCUUGUGUAAACUUAGUGGCGGACGGGUGAGUAACGCGUGGGUAACCUGCCUCAUACAGGGGGAUAGCAGUUGGAAACGACUGGUAAUACCGCAUAAGCGCACAGUACCGCAUGGUACAGUGUGAAAAACUCCGGUGGUAUGAGAUGGACCCGCGUCCGAUUAGCCAGUUGCGGGGUAACGGCCCACCAAAGCUACGAUCGGUAGCCGGCCUGAGAGGGCGGACGGCCACAUUGGGACUGAGACACGGCCCAGACUCCUACGGGAGGCAGCAGUGGGGGAUAUUGCACAAUGGGGGAAACCCUGAUGCAGCGACGCCGCGUGGGUGAAGAAGUAUUUCGGUAUGUAAAGCCCUAUCAGCAGGGACGAUAAUGACGGUACCUGAGUAAGAAGCCCCGGCUAACUACGUGCCAGCCGCAGC
rnacentral:rRNA from 1 species